GGAGGCGAACGAGGGCUGGUGUCCUCCCCGGUCUUCAAAACCGGUGUCGGGGCGGAAGCUCCGAGGCGGGUUCGAUUCCCGUCCGCCUCCG
rnacentral:tRNA from 1 species